CCUACGGGAGACAGCAGUGGGGAAUAUUGGGCAAUGGGCGCAAGCCUGACCCAGCAACGCCGCGUGAGGGAAGAAGGCUUUCGGGUUGUAAACUUCUUUUCUCAGGGACGAAGCAAGUGACGGUACCUGAGGAAUAAGCCACGGCUAACUACGUGCCAGCAGCCGCGGUGAUACGGAGGUGGCAAGCGUUAGCCGGAUUUACUGGGUGUAAAGGGCGUGUAGGCGGGACUGCAAGUCAGAUGUGAAAACCAUGGGCUCAACCUAUGGCCUGCCUUUGAAACUGUAGUGCUUGAGUACUGGAGAGGCAGACGGAAUGCCUAGUGUAGCGGUGAAAUGCGUAGAUAUUAGGAGGAACACCAGUGGCGAAGGCGGUCUGCUGGACAGCAACUGACGCUGAGGCGCGAAAGCGUGGGGAGCAAACAGGAUUAGAUACCCCUGUAGUC
rnacentral:rRNA from 1 species